AUUGAACGCUGGCGGAAUGCUUUACACAUGCAAGUCGAGCGGCAGCGCGGGGCAACCUGGCGGCGAGCGGCGAACGGGUGAGUAAUGCAUCGGAACGUACCUUUUAGUGGGGGGAUAACUGGCCGAAAGGACAGCUAAUACCGCAUACGCCCUGAGGGGGAAAGGGGGGGAUCGCAAGACCUCUCGCUAAAAGAGCGGCCGAUGUUCGAUUAGCUAGUUGGUGGGGUAAAGGCCUACCAAGGCGACGAUCGAUAGCUGGUCUGAGAGGACGACCAGCCACACUGGAACUGAGACACGGUCCAGACUCCUACGGGAGGCAGCAGUGGGGAAUUUUGGACAAUGGGGGCAACCCUGAUCCAGCCAUUCCGCGUGAGUGAAGAAGGCC
rnacentral:rRNA from 1 species